CGUGUAGGCGGAGAUGCAAGUUGGGAGUGAAAUCUAUGGGCUUAACCCAUAAACUGCUCUCAAAACUGUAUCCCUUGAGUAUCGGAGAGGCAAGCGGAAUUCCUAGUGUAGCGGUGAAAUGCGUAGAUAUUAGGAGGAACACCAGUUGCGAAGGCGGCUCUCUGGACUGUAACUGACACUGAGGCACGAAAGCGUGGGAGCAAACA
rnacentral:rRNA from 1 species